GGAGAAGUGUCCGAGUGGUUUAAGGAAGCGGUCUUGAAAACCGUCGUGGGUCACACCACCGUGGGUUCGAAUCCUACCUUCUCCG
rnacentral:tRNA from 1 species